AUCACGAGAGGAAGCGGGAAUCAACUUCUAAACCGAAUAAAAAUUCAUCUCAAAACCAGCAGCUGGAUUCAACAAACAAUAGCAACUCCAAGCCUACCGCUCCUAGCAAUUCUAAGAAAUCUGGUUCAAAGGGUGAGGGAAGCAACUCCAGUUCUUUGUCAUUGACAAAGUUGACAACCAGACUCAACUUUCUGAAGGAACGGCGGAGUCAGAUAGCAAGUGAACUCCAAAAUAUUCGAGGUUCUGGUCAAGCUGUCCGAAGUCAAGAUAAAAGUAGAGGAUCAGAAGCCCAGAACACAGACAAGUCUCAAGGAUCAGAAAUCGGCAGAGAAGGUGACAAUUCCCAAUCACUCCAAAACGUGGACAAACGGGAAGGCCAGUCACAUCAGAAACCGGAAAAGUUCAGGAAAUCAAAUAGCCAUUCAGUCCAGAAUGUGGAUGGAGGUAGAAGAUCAGAAGGCCAACGUCAAUACGCUUUGGAAAGAGGAAGAUCUGAAGGUCAUGUGAACUAUGACGGUGAACAAAGUCAAGGACCUGGUGGCCAAUCUGUCACGCCUUCUCGUACGUACUCUAGAUGAUACCAUGUCUUCUACAUAUCUCAGUCAUUGUUUGUGCACAGGCAGGAUGAAUUAAAAGCGCGUAGAAGAUGAGGAUGUUUUUUGGAAAGAAAACCUGCAACAUUUUCGGUGCCAAGUCCAGAGAGCCUAUUCUUCCCCCAAAAAGCUUGGGAUGUACAGAUCAACCAACUUACUAAUGUUAAUCAUGUCUAUUUGUUUUUUACCUGGUUAGAGACUGAGCAGUAUUGUACAGUAAUUUUACAUCUUUUGUAUGGGCAAAUUCAAUUUUUAAAUUAAUUGAAGUUGCUUGGCUCCUGACCUGAGAUCAAGCUUCUACUCA